rnacentral:rRNA from 1 species
GAUGAACGCUAGCUACAGGCUUAACACAUGCAAGUCGAGGGGUCUUUUGGGCUUGCUUCAAGAGACGACCGGCGCACGGGUGAGUAACGCGUAUCCAACCUGCCCCUCAUAUUGGGAUAGCCUUCCGAAAGGGACAUUCAUACCGAAUAACAUGAUAUAAUUGAAUGACUUUAACAUGAAAGAUCCGUCGAUGAAGGAUGGAGAUGUGUUUCAUUGGGGAGUAGGCGGGGUAACGGCCCACCUAGCAGACGCUGAAUAGGGGUGCUGAGAGGAAGGUCCGCAACACUGGAACUGAGACACGGUCCAGACUGCGACGGGAUGCAGCAGUGAGGAAUAUUGGUCAAUGGGCGCAAGCCUGAACCAGCCAAGUAGCGUGAAGGAUGACUGCCCUAUGGGUUGUAAACUUCUUUUUUACGGGAACAAAUGUAACUACGUGUAGUUAUUUGCGUGUACCGUACGAAUAAGCAUCGGCUAACUCCGUGCCAGCCGCCGCAGUAAAAC